UUUCGGCUGCGUUAGGGAUAGCAGUGGAAAUCCUUUUGUGGAGCUUUUUCUGCUCCACAAAAGAUUGAAACGAAUAGCCCCACCGAAG
rnacentral:sRNA from 1 species